UACGUAGGCAGCAAGCGUUGUUCGGAGUUACUGGGCGUAAAGGGUGCGUAGGCGGCCCUGUAAGUAUGGUGUGAAAUCUCCCGGCUUAACUGGGAGGGUGCGCUAUAGACUGCGGGGCUCGAGUGUGGGAGAGGAAAGUGGAAUUCCUGGUGUAGCGGUGAAAUGCGUAGAUAUCAGGAGGAACACCGGUGGUGUAAACGGCUUUCUGGACCGAUAACUGACGCUGAGGCACGAAAGCGUGGGUAGCAAACAGG
rnacentral:rRNA from 1 species